rnacentral:lncRNA from 1 species
GGCUCAGUGGUCGAGUGUCCCUAAGUUGAAUCUCCAGUACCAAAAAAAAAAACCUCUUUCCCAGGGCACUGCUUGGCACAUAAUAGAUGCUCAAUAAAUACUGAAUGAAUCAAUAGAUAAUAACUUCACUACCAGAAUUCUGACCAACCCUUUGUGAAGAAGCCCCCAUAUCACUGUAUUUUUCGAUAGGAAUAUGGGGAUAGUUGUCCCAGGCUUACCUUGAAUCAGAUCCUUUAUACUAUUGUUAUAAAGUCAGAGCCCAGCAUUUACUGAAGACUUAAUGUGCCAAAGAAUACACUAGGUGUUGAUGAGAACUGAAUUUUGGUCCCUGUAUUUUAUAGGGUAAGCAGCCAGGUGAGCCCACAGAAUAGCCACAGGGGACAGGUACAGGAGAAGGACUUACAUGUACUCCACUGACCCCUGAAAGCUGACUCCUCAAAGGGGGACACUGGGUUAUAAACGAAGAUGUCCCCUGUCUCUGCAGAGAACUGCAGCUGAGGGGUCACCCAGAUGGCUGCCUCCGAAGGCUCAGGCUUCCAUCCCAUUUGUGAGGAGGCUUACACGAGGGUGUGCCAGGUGCAUCGGGGCCUGCCGGCUCAUGAGGCUCUCUCCAGCUCCUUGACCUCUCUUAUUCUGGUGCUUCCUGGCCACGCCUCUUACACACAGGGAAGCAGCCCUGAGGAGUGAGGUCCUGGGGUCAGGGCUGAGUGUGUGUUCCAGCACUGCCCCCUCCGUUGUUGCGGAAGCUGGAGGUCCCCACCAGGCAGGCUCAGCAGCACCUUUUAAAGGGAAUUUCCUUUGUUUGUUCAGUAGACCUUGGGUUCCCCACC